CGAGCCGACGAGGUAAUCGCGUAUUGCUUGCAAUAUGAGGAAAGUCCGAGCAGCGCAGAGCAGGAUAACGGCUAACGGCCGCCGAGGGUGACCUUAGGGAAAGUGCAACAGAAAUAAACCGCCUGAUUUUCAGGUAAGGAUGGAAAGGCGAGGUAAGAGCUCACCGAGGGGAUGGUAACAUCCCUUGCCAUGUAAACCCUAUCCGCUGCAACAUCGACUAAAGGGUUGUUUGCUCGACACAUAACUUUGAAGGAUGGCUGGAGCGCAGCAGCAAUGCUGCGUCGAGAUAGAUGAUUGCCCACGACAGAACUCGGCUUAUUGUCGGCUCGCCUU
rnacentral:RNase_P_RNA from 1 species